GUUGACCUCGAAUCAGGUAGGACUACCCGCUGAACUU
rnacentral:rRNA from 1 species